UUUGAGAGGAUGAUCAGCCACAUUGGGACUGAGACACGGCCCAAACUCCUACGGGAGGCAGCAGUGGGGAAUCUUGCACAAUGGAGGAAACUCUGAUGCAGCGAUGCCGCGUGAGUGAAGAAGGCCUUUGGGUUGUAAAGCUCUUUCGUCGGGGAAGAAAAUGACUGUACCCGAAUAAGAAGGUCCGGCUAACUUCGUGCCAGCAGCCGCGGUAAUACGAAGGGACCUAGCGUAGUUCGGAAUUACUGGGCUUAAAGAGUUCGUAGGUGGUUGAAAAAGUUGGUGGUGAAAUCCCAGAGCUUAACUCUGGAACUGCCAUCAAAACUUUUCAGCUAGAGUUUGAUAGAGGAAAGCAGAAUUUCUAGUGUAGAGGUGAAAUUCGUAGAUAUUAGAAAGAAUACCAAUUGCGAAGGCAGCUUUCUGGAUCAUUACUGACACUGAGGAACGAAAGCAUGGGUAGCGAAGAGGAUUAGAUACCCUCGUAGUCCAUGCCGUAAACGAUGUGUGUUAGACGUUGGAAAUUUAUUUUCAGUGUCGCAGCGAAAGCGAUAAACACACCGCCUGGGGAGUACGACCGCAAGGUUAAAACUCAAAUGAAUUGACGGGGACCCGCACAAGUAGUGGAGCAUGUGGUUUAAUUCGAAGAUACGCGCAGAACCUUACCAACACUUGACAUGUUCGUCGCGACUUUAAGAGAUUAAAGUUUUCGGUUCGGCCGGACGAAACACAGGUGCUGCAUGGCUGUCGUCAGCUCGUGUCGUGAGAUGUUGGGUUAAGUCCCGCAACGAGCGCAACCCUCACUUUUAGUUGCCAUCAUUUAGUUGGGCACUCUGAAAGAACUGCCAGUGAUAAGCUGGAGGAAGGUGGGGAUGACGUCAAG
rnacentral:rRNA from 1 species